rnacentral:ncRNA from 1 species
UUGAAUCUAAUUUUGACCAUUAUUUUCAUAUUCGAAAUAGUGCGAAAACAAGGCCCUGCUCCAAGUUGUUCAAGCUAGGGGAGCGAAUAGGAUUAGAUACCCCAGUAGUCCUAGCCAUAAAUGAUGGAUACUAGGCAUUGUGCGUAUUGACUUAUGCAGUACUGUAGCUAACAUGUUAAGUAUCCCACCUAGGGAGUACGUUCAUAAAAAUAAAAAUCAAAGAAAUUAAUGGGGCCCCACAUAAGUAGUGGAGCAUGAGGUUUAAUUUAAUUCAAAGCGAAGAUCUUUACCAGGGCUUGACAUACCGCAAAUUCUCUUAAAAGAGAGGGGUGCCUUUGGGAAUACCGACAGGGGUGGUGAUUGGCUGUUGUCAGGAAGUUUUGUAAGGUGUUGGGUUAAUUCCCACAAUGAGCGGAACCCUCGUGUUUAGUUUCCAUCAUUUAGUUUGGAACCCUGAAUAGAGCAUCGUUAAUAAGUUAGAGGAAGGUGAGGAUGACUUCAAGUCAUCAUGCCCCUUAUACCCUGUGCGACACAAGUGCUACAAUGGCCGGGAAAAAGGCUUGCAAUCCUACGAGGGUGAUCUAACCCUUAAACCCCACUUUCGAUUUAGAUUGCAUGCUGCAACUCGCCUGCAUGAAGUCGGAAUGUAGUCGUAUUGGAAGGUACGGCUGGAUCACCUUCUUUUCAGAGAGAGCUAAUACUUA